UCUGAGAGUUAGGAGUCUGCAUGCGUUUGACAUGCCCAUGGUGUUUAUUUUACUCUUGUGAAAUCGUGCGUCUCUCCCUACACCUUGUGAAGCAGCCUUCUUCCUAUAUUUGAUGUCCUCCCAGAUGUUUUGAACUACACGUCUCAUCAUCCCUGACUGCUGGCUAUGCUGGCUAAAGAUGAUGGGAACUGGAGGCAAACAACAUUUUGGAGGGUUGGAGAAGGCGGCUGAAGAGAAAGGCUUGGAAAUGUGUUGACUGCGUCUGUAGAAGAUUCAUGAUCCAAAUAACGCAUUGGGGUAACUGACACACCUCAAAGAGUAGGGUGGUAUUUUGGUGCUUUGGAAAACUCCCUCGCCUCUUUUCACUGCCACCAAUGAUCUUCCCUAUAGGUUCAUUGCAUUUGAGACCUGGGUGUACCACUGUAAUCUCUUUUUUUCUGACGGAUUUCAUUACAACUACACCCCAGAGCUGUUUAGUAUCAAAUCUCCUUGAUAUCAAGCAAAUCUUGCCAAACAUCCGGGACAAAUUCAGCCAGAGUAGUGAUACGAAGUAAUCUAGAAAACAAACCAGGUUG